GAGGGAGUCAAUUCAAUUUAUAGAAAAGAGAAGGAAAAUAAAAUAAAUUUAAAGUUUCAAUGUAAAAUUUCAAGGGACAGGUGAAAUAGUUAACUGAAAAUUUUUAAAUUGAAAAUAAAGAAUAGGUUCCUUUAAUCUACAGAUAAUAAAAAGGGAUUAGAUACCCCGUUAUUCUGUACAAAAAGUUAUUUGUGGUAGUAUUAGGUGUAGCCUAGAAACCAAAAAAAAAUGGCGGUACUUUAGGCCAUUUGGAGGAACUUGUUCCUUAAUCGAUGAUCCCCGAAUAAAAAACUGAAUUUUUUUUUAGGUUUGUAUACCGUUGUCGUCAGUUUAUCUCAUGAGAGGUAAAAUUUUCUACAUCUAUUUAAAAUAUAUUUUAAGUCAAAUCAAGGUGCAGCUUAUAAUUCAGAGAGAAUGAGUUACAAUACAUAAGAUAAUACAGAGAAAAGUAUUAGUACGGAUAAAAGUUUGUGAAAUCUUUUUGAAGGCGGAUUCAAAUGUAAUUUUUUUGUUAAAGAGAAAAAAGAUGAGUAAGGCCCUAAAGUAUACACACAUCGCCCGUCGCUCUCAUGAAUUUCAUGAG
rnacentral:rRNA from 1 species